ensembl:lncRNA
AACUUAAUAGUGACAAUAAUAACAAUGAAGGUACACCGAUGAAAACAAAUUAUCAAAAUGAUUGGUAUACAACAGAAUAUUAUAAAAAUAAUAAAAAUUAUGAACAAAUAACAGAUGAUAAUAUUCCCUUUGAACAUAGUAAACAACCUUUGACAAAUGCUAAAAAUAAUAGUUAUAUUAUUCCAGAAAAUAAACAUAUGCUAUAUCAAAACGGAGGUUCAAUUGUAAAAGACUUAUUCAAUAAAGAUAUUUUCGAAAAAAAAAAUACAUUUUUAAAUGAAGCACAUGAAAAUUUAAAUAUCAAAAACAACACAUAUUUACAUAUACCGUUUAAAAAAGAAAUGGGUAAUAAUAAAAGUGAAUCAUAUGAAAAUGAAGCAAGCUCAAGUUAUAAUUAUAAACAUGAUUUACAUUCUACUUCUAAACAAACUUUAGAUUAUUAUUCAAAAGAAAAUUUAAUGCAAGACGAUAGAACAAAAAUGGAUAGACAUUCUGAACAUGAACAGCACAAUAAUAAUUUCAAUAACAAACAAAAAAUGUUAAACAUAUUACCAUACAAUUUAGAUACAAAAAAAAAAGAGGAAAUUUUAUUUGAUUCAUUUAAUAAAGAUUGUAAUUAUAAUUAUAAUAAUAAUAGUGAUAAUAUCAAUAAUAAUGAUAAUAAUGAAAACAGUUACAGUGAUAACAAUAAUGAUGAAACAAAUUAUGGCUAUGUAAAUUCUACUAACAAUAAUUUAAUGACCAUGGAAAAUUUUAAUUAUUUAAAUAGUGGUUAUAAUUAUAACAAUAAUAAUAUUGUUGAUAAGGAAAAACUAUUUAACGAUGAUAUACAUACGAAUACAAUGAAGAAUACAAAAAAUAAUAACAAUGUAGUAUUAUCAUUAAAUGAAAAAAAUAAUAAUCUGCCUGUACAAUACAAACAAAAUUUAUAUACUCCAAUGGAAAACCUUACAUUCACAGAACAAAACAAAACAUACAUGCAUUUACCAAAAUACAAAUACAGUGAAAACAGUAGCAAUAAUAACAACAAUAAUGAUUAUCCAAAUUUCACAAAAAAAAUAAUGAGUUCUAAUUUGUCACACCUCGAAACGGAACAUAGUAAUAUUCUAUCUUAUUAUAAUCAUGCAAAUACUACCCGACAAAUUGGUGGAAAUGCAGCAGGAGCUAUUUCGAAUAAUAAUUAUACGAUGUGCAAUUUAGUCGAAAAAGAAAACAGGUCAACGCGUACCGAGCGAGUGCAUUUCGAACCGACGUAUACUACACCAAUAAAUAAUGAAUGUUUUACAAUCAAAACAUUAAAUAAAUAUGAUUAUAAUAUGCAAGAUAACCAUCCAAACGAAUCAAAGAGUACAUUUUAUCCAAAUACUAUGAAACCAAAAUAUUCAGAAAUCGACGAGUAUAAUCAUAUUACAAAUAAAGAGCGUGAUGAUACUUCUUCUGAUGAAUUAUUUUAUAAUGACAUUCAAAAUGACCACACUAGACACACUGACAAUAACGAAAAUAACAACCAGAAACACAUGUUUAACAUAAAUAAUCACCAUAACAUAAAAAAAAACAGCACAAGUGCAAUUAAUAAUAAUAGUGACAUCGAUUAUCAAAAUGUGGCAACAGAUAUUGUACAAAAUGUAUCUACAAAUAUAAACGAUAAAAAUUAUAAUAAUAUCAUUGAUAAUAAUACUGAACAAAAUCUCUUUUUAAAUAAAUAUAUAGAAAAUAAUUAUAACAUGGAAGAAAUACAAAACUGUUUACCCCAACCUGUUUUAUAUAGUAAACAGAAGUUUGACGUACCUGAAGUUUUUCAAGGCUUAACUACCAAAAAUGAUAAUGGUAUAAUAUCAGAAUGUACACAAGAUUCUAUCAUGGAAUAUAAUAAUAAAUGGAGACUAAUUAAAAACAAACAAUUUGCAAUAAGUCAAAAUGAAACUUUGAAAUCUAUGGAAGACGCAGUUAUACCAUUCCAAAAAUAUUUGAAUGAACAUAAUGAAUAUACAAAACAAUUAAUUAAAAAUAGUAAUUUUAAUCCUUUAACUGGUAAAUUAACAAUUUAUCCAUUAGUAUCACAAAAUAAUAACAACGCAUUAAAUCUAAAAAAAGUACAUGAUUAUAAAGAUAUAGCACUUGCGUACCCUUAUUCUUUUAAUCUUAAUUCAAAACAAAUUACUACUACUAUAGAUAACGAUUCUGUUGCAACAAACGAACAAAAUAAUGAUGUAAUAAAAAAUAAAAUAAAAGAUACUGCCGUGAUACCAAAAAAUAUAAAUGAGCAUGUUAUUAGUGAAAAUGUUAACAAAUCAAAUGAUCAAACUAUAAAAAAAAAAAAAUUGGUAAAAAAAGAAAGAUUGCCAGUAUGUGGCGAUUAUUAUUUGAAACAUAAAAUAAAAACAUAUCUAUCUGAGGGAAUGAAAAAUUACUUUAACGUUAAUUUGUUUAAUUAAUAUGUAUGUAUGUAUGUAUGUAUGUAUAAUGCGCUUAUUAUAAAAGCUAUAUUUUGCUCAAUUGUUUUUUUUUUUUUAAAUUAAUAGUUUAUGUAUGUUUGUACGUUCACACAUAAUAUAUAUACAUCUAAAAUGUAUGCAUAAAUGUUCAAUUUUUAUUUAAUUUUUAUUGAGGUUAUAUAUUUUGUGGAGCUAUACAAUGUUUUUUUUUUUUUUUUUUUUUUUUUUUUUUUAAAACAAAACUCAUUAUAAUAAGCUAUAUAGCUGUAGAACAUAUGCGAGAUUAAUUAUCUUUUUAACUUGAAUAAUAUUGUGUUAGUAUAAAUGUUUUUAUACGUAUAUAAAUAUAUAUAUGCAUGUGUAUAUGUUCGUAUACGCUGAUAUAUAUAUAUAUAUAUAUGUGUAUAUAUAGUCAAUUUAUAUAUCUUCAUCACGUUUAUGAGCAGGAAAAAAAUAUAUAUUUUUAUAAUUCCUUUGAAAAUUAAGAAACAACAUAAAGAUAUAAUCGUGCAUAAAAUUAAAUAUAUGUUAAUAUAUAUAUAUAUAUAUAUAUAUAUAUGUAUAUCAAUGUAUGUCUAUUUGAUCUUUGUAUUAUUUUAUUUUAUAUUUUUUAUGCCACAUGUUUCUCAAUUAGUUGUUUCAAAGCAGCAUCAUUAGCUCCUAACAAUGUUUCCACAACGGUACCCUUUUUAUAAACUUUAAAUGUUGGCAUAGAGGUUAUG